AAUAAGGUGGCCGAGUUCAUAGGCGUUAGAUUGUAAAUCUAAAAACGAGUUUUAACUCCUUUAUUA
rnacentral:tRNA from 1 species